GGUAUCUUCUCACAACACAAAAUACUUAUUUACUUCUCCCCAUAUUAGCUUUCUAUUUCCUUUUAGGAACACCAACAGUCCAUAACUUCCAUCAUAAGCCAGUAUCUAAAUGCUGUGGCUUUCAAUUUAUAAGGAAUAAGGAUUAUCUUUUACUCAAUUCAAGUGAAUAAAGACAUAAGGAGUUUUGAACCUGAGGAGGUACCUCACAAAAGCCUCCAAAACUGAAUUUGAGUCAGAAAUGUAUGACAGUAACAGGGAAAACAUUAAUGAGGGCAGCCUGAAGAGCCCUGCCUGUGUCCAGAAUGCUGAGAUCACCAGGUGAUACUACUCCACCUGCUCUGCCAUUCUGCUUCUCCAGGUGGCCUUGAGGAAGCUUUUAGCAGGAAAACUGACACAUACAAGGAUAUAAGGUUAUGGUCAGGCGACACCUAAUACAACUUCUGCAUGCAGAUGUUUUUGUCUUUGCCCCUUGGUAUUUUCUUUUUAAAUUAAGAACUAAUUUACAUACAGUAAGGCCUUUACAAAACACACAAGUCUUAAAACUAGAAAAGAGAGGGCAUCAUCAGGCUGCACAGACCAGAUGCUGAAGUGCUGAGCAAGGAAUGGCAGUAGUGGCCACAGCAACCAGGGCAGCAUGAGCAGCACUGGGAUCUUGCAGCCUACCCCAAGGGAGGUGCAUUCCUGCCAGUCUCCAGUGGCCUUCACCAUGUGCUGGCACCUGCUGUACACCAGUCCACCCAUCCAAGCUGUCGCCAAGGAGCUGUUCCUGGGCAAAACCGAGAAGGAAGCACAACAAAGAUUCUUGCCCACAGCUCUCCCACUCCCUCUGCCUACUGACCCCCACCGGUGCUUCCCUGUGUGGUCCUGCAUGUUGUGUGCCUGUCCUCUGGGGAACUGUGGGCAACAAAUUAUCUUUUCAGUUGUACAAUACUUGUUUCCUGACCUGUUGGCCUUACUAUACCUCAAAUUUUAUGUCAACCCACAAUAUUUAGACCAGCACGAAUGACAAGACACUUUGUACCCUUAAGAGUGAACAAAUGAAGAACAUACGAACUGUGCACCUUUUCCCAAUGUUUUUAACAAGUUUUGUAUGUUAAAGCAUAAGAGUUUCUUUCAGGUGAUGGGGAAGGCUAGUAGCUGUUGGGUGGGAUCCACUGAAGGCAAAGACUUUGCUCUGAUGAUGGAGCCCUGCAUCAGGUUUCCUGUAGUCCAGAAUUCAGUACCAGGCCAUGGUAUCAUCAAAUUUUUGUUCUAACAAGGACUGGAUGUGGUCUGCCUCAUAUCCCACGGACACCAUGAGCUCUGUCUUUCAGGAGUCCUGGUAAUCAGAGAGCAGCUCCCGGUAUGGCCUUCGUGUCUCCUCCUGACCAGUGUUGAUCCAUAGGUGUUCCAUGACGUGGACUAGUAUAGGCCUCUCCCUGCAGUCAGAAAUAGGUUUAUGAAGCUCUCUGGAAAUGAAAAGCAAAGAGUGGGAUCUUGUACAAUUGUUCACACAGUAUCAGCUUCCUCAGUGCCACAAAAUCUGCCCGAUAAAUGGCAGGACCUGGUUACUGUGGUGUAAAGAAUGACUUUCCAGCUCCACAUGUCCACUGGGGCCCAUCAUAUGUUUGGCCAUGGAAGAGUUCAGGACCGCAUAAGAGGGAUUCCCACCGAAGGUGCCCAGCUUCUGGCCUACAGUGAACCUGGUAUCAAAUCCAAAGUCUGUUAUUUUUAUGUUGUGAUGGACCACAAGGAAAUUCUUGGGCUUCAGGUCCCUAUGGAUAUCCCCCUUCUGUUGGUGGUACUAGAGGGCUGAUAUUAUCUGCUGGAAUUUGCUUCAGGCCUCUUCCGCCUUCAUGUAGCCCAACUCUAGGAUGUAGUCGACCAGCUCUGCUCUGCUGGCCGUACUCCAUGGCUGAGAACAAAGUGUCUGUGGUGUUGAAAGAGUUUGAUGACCUUGGGGUGACCCCAUGGAAUAGACUCUAGAGGGAGUCUAGAGUCUCACUACUGCCCAGUGAGAAGGUACUUGGUGAACUUCAUUCACCCUGGUGAAGCUGUCCUGGCUGAUGAUCUCGAGGAGCCUAUAAUGAUCAGUAAGGGUCUCCUCAUCAGCAGAGAUGGUCGUAAGGCCCUGCCACAUGGUAACCUUCUAGCUACAAAUCCUAACUAGGAAUGCUAACCAAGAAUGCUACCUAUAAAAACGUUGCUAACUGUGAAAACGAAAGAGCACAGCUGGAGUUGCUCUGCACACUUUCGUGUGUGACCUAUGGGUCACUCCAGUGCCCGUGACUAUGUGCCCGGCCAACUCCACCUGGUCUGUAGCUGGGUGCUGGAUAAUGGCACCAGGAACCACCUCUGCUGACCUCUUGGCUAUGUUUACUUCCCUCUGUGUUGGUGUCAUUCUUGGGGGGGCUUUCCCUUCAAGGUGACAAGAUGGCACCAACCACUCUAGCAACCUAACAGAAAUAGAGCUUCUGUUCCCCCAGGGUUCCAACCCGGAGGUCUGACCUUUGGUACCCGACUGGUUACGUGCCCAGACCUCAGCCAAUCACUAUGGCUGAAGAGAAUGGGCUCUGUUGAUUGGCCAGGUUGAGGUCAUGUGGCCUCUAUCUCCAAGGGAACUUGGGAGCUGCUCACCUGCUUCCAGUGGGAGAGGGUGUGACACCUGAGAGAGCAGGUUCAGGAUCGAGCCCUCUGUUCAUUUCCUGGAUAUGCCUGCUCAUGUCCUCCCACGCCACUGUCUUCUGUGUACACAAGAACCCAUGGCAGCACUUCUUCCCCUCUCCUGCCGCCUCCUUCACAGGCCCCAUUUCAGGCAUAAUACAAAGGAACAGGGCUUCCUGCUUGAAGUGCUGAUCCAGGGAUCAAAAGGACUGAUGACGUUGCUGUCCUCAAGGAGCUGACACUGCAGCGUUAGUGGACAAAUUCAGAAGACAAAUUCCGAUCAGUGUUCCCUCUUCCAGCACACAUUCACUGAGGUCCUACUGCAUGCUCCAGACAUGGAAGCACGGCAGGGAGUGAAGCAGGCAGAGGUCUCCAUUCUUAUGGGAUGAUAGUCUAGCGGGGGAGACAGAGAAAACAAAAGUAAAACAUAAACAAAGCUAAUUAACCUGAACCCAUGUCAUCAAUCUGUUGAAUUCAGCAAAUUGUAUUCCAGUGAUUCAAUAUGGAAACAGAGGCCUAGCUAAGUGGUGGCUCAUUCUUGGAGACCCAGCUCAGAUGUCACCUUAUGAGGCCCUGCUGGAUCCUUACCACUCCCCCAGACCCUUUUGCCUUACUUGGGACCCCUCAGUGCUAUGAUCAUACUUUGAAGUCCUUUCUAGCCUGUGAGUUGUGUGAGGACGCUGAGUUAGAUGCAGAAAGGGGCUCAGAAUGUGAUGAUGAGUAAAGUCUGAAUAAACGAAAGGAUCAACCCCCACCCCACCCCAUCC
rnacentral:lncRNA from 1 species